rnacentral:lncRNA from 1 species
UUUGCAUUCUUGGAGCCCAGAAACUGUCUUCUACAAACUUUUCUUCGUAGUACUAUGUAAACGUACACAGGAAAUGUUCAGAAAACAUCAGCCAAAUAGAAUUUGGGAAUUCCUUCACUGACUAGAUAUUGAUGUUUGAUUCUGUCCUGCUUUGUACUCAAUGGAUAUUUCGGGGUUUCCAUUUUGGAAAACUAUUUGGAAAAUUGCAAGCCAUGAGAAAAGCCUCUAAGCUACUCCAGGAGCACUGAGGACUCUUCAUGGGUUCUUACUGUUAAAGAGUUUAACCCCUCAAGUCACUCCAUUUUUACUAUAUGCCUUGAACUACAAGAUGUGUUAAGAUUUAUAGGAUAAGGUCCUCAUGUCUAAAAACUCAUGGUCUCGGUGGAGAAGCAGUAUUUACACACAUGGAGCAAGUUGAGAGUGCUUGAAUGUGGAGUAUAAAGUGUGUGAUACUGACAAGAAUUUCUAUUGAAGAUCAGGAAGAGGAGGAGCAAAUGAGGAUGGAGACGGACUUUGCAGAAUGGAAGAGAGGCAAAGACAUGAUUAGAAACAAUCUACAUAAUGAGGAGUCACUUUUGGGAGUUAUUUUAAGGCAGAGUAUCACAUCGCAUCAAAACAGCUCCGUCUCCUGCCACUCCACAUGCAAUGCCAUGAACUUAAAUAAAUUGCUGGUAAGAGGACGCAAAUGCUGUGACCAGGCAACUGCUGCAAACCAAUGGGCUUUGGGGAACUGUGCUUCCCUUCAGAGAGGAAAGAGUAUUUGAGGAUGAAAAGGAAGGUAAGAAAGAGGGAUUUAGGUGCAAGGAAAUUGACAUCAUCUUUAGAUGAAGGAGGGCUUGAAGGAAACAUCCCAGCAUGUAAAAGAAACAUGAUAAAUUAAGACUAAUUUUUAAAAAAGUAUCUAUGUACAUUUUUUCACAGGCAUUGCUAAAUCCCGUGUUUUAAAAAUUAAUUUUUCCCUCAUAUUAGCAAUGUCACAAUAGUCACUAUCACUGGAAUGACAC